rnacentral:rRNA from 1 species
AUGGGCGAAAGCCUGAUGCAGCGACGCCGCGUGCGGGACGAAGGCCUUCGGGUCGUAAACCGCUUUCAGCAGGGACGAGGCCGCAAGGUGACGGUACCUGCAGAAGAAGCCCCGGCUAACUACGUGCCAGCAGCCGCGGUAAUACGUAGGGGGCGAGCGUUAUCCGGAUUCAUUGGGCGUAAAGCGCGCGUAGGCGGCCUGCUAGGUCGGGAGUCAAAUCCGGGGGCUCAACCCCCGUCCGCUCCCGAUACCGGCUGGCUUGAGUCUGGUAGGGGAAGGUGGAAUUCCCAGUGUAGCGGUGGAAUGCGCAGAUAUUGGGAAGAACACCGGUGGCGAAGGCGGCCUUCUGGGCCACGACUGACGCUGAGGCGCGAAAGCUAGGGGAGCGAACAGGAUUAGAUACCCUGGUAGUCCUAGCCGUAAACGAUGGACACUAGGUGUGGGCGGAUUGUCCGUCCGUGCCGCAGCCAACGCAUUAAGUGUCCCGCCUGGGGAGUACGGCCGCAAGGCUAAAACUCAAAGGAAUUGACGGGGGCCCGCACAAGCAGCGGAGCAUGUGGCUUAAUUCGAAGCAAGCGAAGAACCUUACCAGGGCUUGACAUCUAGGUGAAGCGGCGGAGACGCG